rnacentral:rRNA from 1 species
AGAAUGAACGCUAGCGGCAGGCCUGACACAUGCAAGUCGAACGGGGCCGGGCUUCGGCAUCGGCAAAGUGGCGAACGGGUGAGUAGCGCGUGAGAAUCUACCCUUCACUGCGGUGGAAGGGGCAUACUGCCCUGAAUCCCGUAUAUCAAAGAAAGGCGUACUAGCCGGUGGAAGAUGAGCUCUCGUAGGAUUAGGUAGUUGGUGAGGUAAAGGCUCUACCAAGCCAAAGAUCCUUAGCUGGUCUGAGAGGAUGAUCGGCCACACUCCGGGACUGAGACACGGCCCAGACGCUUUCGAGCGGCAGCAGUGAGGAAUCUUGGACAAUGGGCGAAAGCCUGAUCCAGCCAUGCCGCGUGGGGGAUGAAGGCUAAAUGGGUUGUAAACCCCUGGCCUCAGCUUAGAUUGUGACAUGAGUUGAGUAAAAGUCCCGGCAAACUCCGCGCCAGCAGCCGCGGUAA